rnacentral:rRNA from 1 species
AUUGAACGCUGGCGGCAUGCCUUACACAUGCAAGUCGAACGGCAGCACGGGUGCUUGCACCUGGUGGCGAGUGGCGAACGGGUGAGUAAUACAUCGGAACGUACCUUAUCGUGGGGGAUAACGCAGCGAAAGUUGCGCUAAUACCGCAUACGCCCUGAGGGGGAAAGCGGGGGACCGUAAGGCCUCGCGCGAUUAGAGCGGCCGAUGUCUGAUUAGCUUGUUGGUGAGGUAAAAGCUCACCAAGGCGAUGAUCAGUAGCUGGUCUGAGAGGACGGUCAGCCACACUGGGACUGAGACACGGCCCAGACUCCUACGGGAGGCAGCAGUGGAGAAUUUUGGACAGUGGGGGCAACCCUGAUCCAGCAAUGCCGCGUGAGUGAAGAAGGCCUUCGGGUUGUAAAGCUCUUUUGUCAGGGAAGAAACAGCAGCUCUAACACAGUCUGCGAAUGACGGUACCUGAAGAAUAAGCACCGGCUAACUACGUGCCAGCCGCCGCAGUAA